rnacentral:rRNA from 1 species
AAAUAGCCGCAAUUAGUGCUAAGGUAGCAUAAUCAUUNUGUCUUUUAAAUAAAGACUAGAACAAAAGAUUUAACAUUUCAAUUCAUAUAUUUUAUCUACCUUUUAAAUCUUUUUUAGUUGUUAAAAAUCAGCUAUUAAUCAGAUAGACGACAAGACCCUAUUGAACUUAACUUUAGUUAAACUGGGGAAGUGAAUUAAUUAUUAUUUUAAUAUUAAAACUUUAAAAAUCAUCUAAUUAUUUAAUAGAUUCAGUUACCAUAGGGAUAACAGCGCAAUUAUAUUUCAAAGUUCUUAUAUUAAAUAUAGAUUACGACCUCGAUGUUGAAUUAAUAUCCUGACUAAAGCAAAUUUUAAGAAAGGAAGUCUGUUCGACUUUUAAAAAAUUACAUGAUUUGAGUUCAGACCGGUGUAAGCCAGGUCGGUUUCCAUCUUCUUUAAAAAAUUCUGUAGUACGAAAGGACCUAGAAAUUUAAUUAUAUUAAUAUUUUAGCAAAUAAAUGCAUUAGAAUUAGAAUCUAAAAAAACU